CAGGACAGAGUCAGGGGAGCCCAGGAUCCCAGCAGGCGGGGCUGGGCCGAUAGGGCCCUCCGAGGUCACGUGACCCAACCCGCUCAUUUUACAGCCGGAAAAACCGAGGCAGGAGGGAAGGGACUUGCCCAGGGGUGCGCCGCGUGGGCCCAGCCAGUCUGCUCAGCCCCAGGGAACAGCCUCCAUGUUGGCCAUGCUCCCCCGCCCCUCCCCCAUCCCCGAGUCUGUCUGGAACUCCCCAGCCUGGGGGCUGUGCGCGUCAGGAACCCCCUGUCCUUUCUCUGACUGCAGGAGACCAGCGCAGUGGUGGGGUCACUGAGGCCAGCAGCCUCCUGGGGGGCUCACCACGGCGUCCGUGUGGCCGGAAGGGCUCCCCAUAUCACACGGGGCAGCUGCACCCCGCAGUGCGCGUGGCCGACCUCCUGCAGCACAUCAACCAGAUGAAGACGGCCGAGGGCUAUGGCUUCAAGCAGGAGUACGAGGGCUUCUUUGAAGGCUGGGAUGCCAUGAGGAAGAAACUGUCUCAGAGACCCAUGCUUGAGAGUCCUGAGGGAUGGCCUGAAGCCUAGGGGAGCAGGCAGGAGGCAGUCAGAAGGGGGCUCGGCAGGGGUCUCCAGCGUUCUAGCUCAGCCCAGCCAUGAAGAGCCAUCAGGCCAGAUGAUCUCUAGCAUCCCUGAGGAAACUGAUUCCAGAAGGAAGGGCAGAAGGCUCUGGAAACAGGGAGCUGGGUAGCCUGGGCUUCUGUAGUCUCUCUCAGUGUGAGCUUUGCCAAGGCCUGUCUUUCUGGACCUUGAUUUCUCCAUCCAUAAGACAAAGCUAAUAACCCCAAUGGGGCACCCCUCAUGAGGCUGUUAAGAGACCAUUGGCCUCAUUCAUCCCCCAAGUCCCAGGAGAUGCUGAACUCGGUCAUGCCAGCACUGGAUGUGGAAAAGCAGCAUGGCCCUCUUCCCCAGAACCUCAACAAGGACCCAGCAUCAAUGUCCUGCCACCUGACCGCCGCCAGCCCUCCCUUAGCUCCACUGAUGGGGAACCCCCACAUCUACCUCAACAUGGCCCUGGUGGAUGGGAGGGCUGCAGUCUCUCCGGUGGCCAGAGGACACAGGCUAUUCCAAUGGCUUCACAGUCCAACGUCGUUUCAUCUGAAUUACGAACUCAUGGAACAGCACUACCCCCCGACUCAUGCUGUUGAUGCAUCGCUUGGAUCCUGGCCUGGCCCUCUGGGCCGGGCCCGGGGCUUUCUGGGAGAAUGUCUACUGAAGCGGCAGCUGCCUCCUGGGAGCUUUCGGUCCAUCAGGGAGCCAGAGAACCACAGCACCACUCACAGUCCCUCCACCAACAGUUUUGCAGAUGACGGACUCUUGGAAGGAAAGCGUGUUGGACCAAAGGUGGGAGAGAAAAUCUCCACGGGCCAGACCUGCAGACUGAGACUCACACGAUGGGAUUUCAUAUGCCCUAGUGAAUUAAACAUGCAGUGCAAAAUAAAUCAGCAGCUCGGGAACAGAGGAGGGAGACAGGCCUUGAGACGGGACUGACAGAGAGCUCAGUGUGAGCCCAUGAAGUGACAUACCUCUCGUGUCACCUGCCCCAUCCAGCCCCGUCCCAACCAAGGCCCGGCCUGCGAGAUGGAGGGAGGGCCCCCAAACCUGCUCAGUUUAGUAAUAACAAGAACAAUAGUGAUAGUCUCUGCUCCAAAGGUUUACUCUGUAUUAUGUA